rnacentral:rRNA from 1 species
CGGCGAGUGAAGCGGCAAUAGCUCAAAUUUGAAAGCUGGCGUCUUCGACGUCCGCGUUGUAAUUUGUAGAGGAUGCUUCGGCGAAGACUCCUGCCUAAGUCCCCUGGAACGGGGCGUCAUAGAGGGUGAGAAUCCCGUAUGUGGCGGGCAGUCUAAGCCAUGUGAAGCUCCUUCGACGAGUCGAGUUGUUUGGGAAUGCAGCUCUAAAUGGGAGGUAAAUUUCUUCUAAAGCUAAAUAUUGGCCAGAGACCGAUAGCGCACAAGUAGAGUGAUCGAAAGAUGAAAAGCACUUUGGAAAGAGAGUUAAAAAGUACGUGAAAUUGUUGAAAGGGAAGCGCUUGCAACCAGACUCGCUCGUAGUUGCUCAGCCGGCCUCUUGGCCGGUGUACUCUUCUGCGAUCGGGCCAGCAUCAGUUCGGGCGGCCGGAUAAAGGCGUCGGGAAUGUAGCACCCUUCGGGGUGUGUUAUAGCCCGGCGCGGAAUGCGGCCAGCCUGGACUGAGGAUCUCGCUUCGGCAAGGAUGCUGGCGUAAUGGUUGUAAGCGGCCCGUCUUGAAACACGGACCAAGGAGUCUAACAUCUAUGCGAGUGUUUGGGUGUCAAACCCAUGCGCGUAAUGAAAGUGAACGGAGGUGGGAACCCUUCACGGGGUGCACCAUCGACCGAUCCUGAUGUCUUCGGAUGGAUUUGAGUAAGAGCAUAGCUGUUGGGACCCGAAAGAUGGUGAACUAUGCCUGAAUAGGGUGAAGCCAGAGGAAACUCUG